GCCUUCAUGGUGUAGUGGUUAGCACCCUCGACUCGUAUUCGAGAGGUCCUGUGGUUCGAGUCCCGGCGAGGGCA
rnacentral:tRNA from 1 species